UACGAAGGGAGCUAGCGUUGUUCGGAAUUACUGGGCGUAAAGGGCGCGUAGGCGGUUUAGUAAGUCAGAUGUGAAAGCCCCGGGCUUAACCUGGGAACAGCAUUUGAUACUGCUAGACUAGAGAUCGAAAGAGGAGAGUGGAAUUGCGAGUGUAGAGGUGAAAUUCGUAGAUAUUCGCAGGAACACCAGUGGCGAAGGCGACUCUCUGGUUCGAUACUGACGCUAAGGCGCGAAAGCGUGGGGAGCAAACAGG
rnacentral:rRNA from 1 species